rnacentral:tRNA from 1 species
GGGGUUGUGGCUCAGUGGUGGAGCACUCGCCUAGCACAUGUGAGGCACUGGGUUUGAUCCUCAGCACCACA